CAGAGAUCAAAGAGUCAACCGUUUAUGGAUGCAUAGUUCAUUACAAAGUCAUCGUGCUCAGCAGGAGGACUCUGGCUAAAGCACAAAUAAUUUUCUCCCAUUACUAUUUUGUUGCAUGGAUUGGGGUUGGAGGGCACUAAAAGACCUUGCAACAACUUUAAAUAAUGUAAAAAAGAGAGAGAUGAAAAUUCACUUUCAAAGGAGGAUUAAAACUUAACUGGCAUCUUUUUAGGGUAUGGUAUGUGGUAGGAGGAAAGAGGAAGUAAAGAAAUUGACCCAUUACCACAUGGAAUGUGGUUCAAGAAGAAUAAUAGAAGGCAGAACAGUAUCCUGUGUAAUUGACUUACCCUUGGGUAAGCAUUACGGAGAGCCUUUGAUAAGCAGAGCAGAACAUAUACAGGAGUUUUUUUUAAGCCCAAACUAGAUAAUGCAUUGGAAAAACGGGCUUUGAACUAGUUUGCUACAAUGUGAAGAAUACAUGUGUUUUAAAUUAUAGCACUGGUGAUGUUAACAAUCCCAGAAUUGUGGACGAUCACAAUGAUACAAAAUAAUAACUGCUACUUAUUCAGUGUCUGCUGUGUGUCCUGUGCUGUGCAGCAGCGUAUGCCAUAUCUUUCCAUAUCUUUCCAUCGUCCAACCAUGCACAAGAGAGGUUUUGUUAUCGACAUUUACACAUGGAAACGGGACUCCACAAAGUUCAAGUGCUUUGCUCAAAGUCAUACAGUCAUUAAGUGGUGAAACCAAGAUUUGAACUCAACUCUGAAAUGAAGCAGAAACAGCCUGUAGUUCAUGUGUCUUGCUCCUAACUCCUCCCCUGGCCUCUGUUGCAGGGGGUUUUGAAGCUCUUCUGAUUUCCAAACUCAGGAGUUUUGUUCGACAAAGAACCAUCUCAAUCUGGUGGCUGCUCUUUGGGCCAGGGUAGAUCACCUCCAAGUCCUGCUUUCCUGUGUCCCUAUUUCCCUUAGCCACACAGUCCUACUCUGGCUUCUAGGACUGCCAUUGACCAUACACCGGCCUUCUGCCAGGAGCAUGAUGAAGAAAUCACUUAGAGGAAAUACUUUGUCAGGUCGAUUGCUUAUUUCAAGGGCCAUAAAGAACCCUUGCUGCACUUCUUGUUUAAUUGUAUAGAAUGUGAAAAAAUACUUUCUUUGAAGGAAAACUCAAGGCACUGAAUGAGUCUGUCCGUGUGAGUGCCCUGUCAACGUGCUGUCGUAGGUAGGGCACGAUCGUGCCCAACGUGUCCGUAGGGCACGAUCACUGACAACUCAUCCAUCCUACUGCAUAGUAAUAACACUCGAUCUCGUGUGUUUUCUGCAUGGAUGUUAGGGACUGUGUAGCUUGUAAAAGAUCUGUCACAUAUCUGAUCAGUUAUAGUGAUAACUGAACAUUUCCUCAAAUGUAUUAAUUUAGCAGAUAUCCUGUCCUACUUUGUUACUUUAAUUUUAGUCAAAGCUGAACUGUAUGAAUCUUAAAAAGAAAAAACAAAGCAUAGGGUGUAAUGCAAAGAACUAUUGAGUUCUUUGCCUAGAGUCUAUAAAAUCCCAGUGGCUAACAUCUCAGUGACUAUGUGAUCUCUGGGAGCCUUUGUCCUCAUCCCUGAUAAAACCUGCAUCGCAGGGAGACCCUAACAUCAAAUAAGUAAGAUGAAUGUAAACCACAACAAUCUACAAAUGCUAUCUUUUUCUGUUCUUCUCAGUGAUACUACCUUUUGUUCAACCCCUUUCUUUAUGCAGCUUUCAAUAAUGGUAGUUUAAAAAGGUCAGAGGGGUGCCUGGGUGGCUCAGUCAGUUGAGCAUCUGACUCUUGCUUUUAGCUGAGGUCAUGAUCUCAGGGUGAUGAGAUCGUGCCUCACGCUGGGCUCUGUGACGCAGAGUCUGCUUAAGAUUGCUGCCCUUCCCUCUACCCCUUACCCCCCAACCUGUGUGUGCUCUCUCUCUCUCUCUCUCUCUCUCUCUCGCUCUCUCUCUCAAUAAAUAAAUAAAUAAGUCAGAAAUAGAUGCAAAUAAUCAGUGAAUUCUUUUUUUGCCAAUUUAAGUGAAAGGCAAUGGAGAGUGUCAUCCAAAAUCCUGUGGAUUCUUAAAAUCCCUUCCUCCACAUUUUCUUGAAAGCUUUCACACGUGCAGUGUAAGAAAUUGUGAGUCAGCCUUCUCCAAGCCUGACUUUAAGAGUUGCAGAAAUCAGCUGCCAGGCAGCACAUAUGUUCUGAGUUCCAUGAGAGGAAGAAAAUACAUUUGCUGAAAAGAAAUGGAAACCUUAAAACCAAUUGAGUUGUAAUAAAGACACUUUGCAUUUUGCUAACUUCUUUUCCGUCUGGUCCCUGGCUGCUUUUCUGGCCCUGGACAAAUUCUCCUACUCCUGAGGCAUCUGUCACCCCAACCACUCCCUCCCUGGGAUAUGGGCUCCAGCUGGCCUCAGUGGCCAAUGGGGGAAAGCUGGGGAAGUGCAGAAUGACCAAAAGAGGGGAUUGAAAUAAUAUAUCAACAGCAAACAGUACUUCUCGAAUGUGAGGCACCCAAAGGCUAUAAAUCCAUUCUCUUAUUAAGGUCUAGUAAGAAUUAAAUGUGGUAAUAAACUUUGGUAAUAAAUUCCAUUCUGCAGUUGUUGAGAUGACUUUAGAAGGCCAAGUCAUUAGGUCAAGGUCACACAGCUAGUGAACCAGGCAGAGGUGAAUAAUAAAGCCUCUUAGCAUUACAUAUGGGACUUCCAGACACUGGAAAGUAUUUUCUUCUGGGCAGUUGCCUUCAGUAAGCACACCCAUUAACCAAACAUCCUAAAGGGGAAGGCUGCUAGCGAGUACUAUGCUAACAUGGUAGAAACCAGAUUCGAACAGGUUGUGGGUUUCUCUUGGAGCAAAAAAAAAAUCAAUUACAAGGAAAAUGAAACUCAACUUGGUGCUCUACUUAAGACACUUUAAACUCAUUUCAUGAUGUUUUGCCUUCUUCACCUCUCACUGAAGUAGUUCCAUUCUUCAGUAAUUGGUAUUCUGUUGUUCUUGUGGAUUGUCUGUCAGUGUGUUUUUAUUCAUUAAACUGCGUGAGUAAAAAUUGAUGUGAUGGAAGAACCAUGGCAGCCUCAGCCACCGAACAAAGACUUUUCUGAACCAGCAUUUCUCCUAUAACAUCUGGAUGAAUGUUUCAUGUGGGUUUUCCUUCCCCAAGUAUCCGAUGGCACAAUUCUGUAUUCAGAAAGAAUUGACAGUGACAUUCAUUUGACCAAAAAAAAAAAAAAAAAA
rnacentral:lncRNA from 1 species